UACGGAGGGUGCAAACGUUGGCUCGGAAUCAUUGGGCGUAAAGCGCCACGUGAGGCGGCUCGUUAAGUCGGAUGUGAAAGCCCUGGGCUCAACCCAGGAAGUGCAUACGAAACUGGCGAGCUUGAGUAUGGAAGAGGGUCGCGGAAUUCCCGGUGUAGAGGUGAAAUUCGUAGAUAUCGGGAGGAACACCAGUGGCGAAGGCGGCGACCUGGGCCAAUACUGACGCUGAGGAGCGAAAGCGUGGGGAGCGAACAGG
rnacentral:rRNA from 1 species